UACCCAGGGGUAAUAAUACCGUGGUUGAAAUAAUUAAGUUACAAGUUUACGUAUGCUAUAAGUCAAGAAUGUUACAAGCUCAAGAAUGUUACAAGUUUGUGAAAGUUACAAGUCCAAGUAUGUUAUAAGUUCAUGUAAUCACUUUGGGAGUCCGUCUUAACCCUUGAAGCUCACCCUUCAGUCGUCAACCUCAGUAUGCCCAGGUUCCCAGACCAAGUCUAUGCAUUUAUGUCAAGUUUUGUUAAGAUUUUGGCUUGCACUUUAAUUAUUUACCUAAGGUUAAAAUGUAUGUAUAUGAUCCCUUUCUAUACCAAUGUUUGUUCAUGCGGUCAUGUAUGUGUAU